rnacentral:lncRNA from 1 species
GUAAGGCACAUUUUUUGAAAAAAAAGUUUCUUAGUGAAGGAAUAAGUGCCUCUAAAAUCGAGCUUGAUGAAGUUCGACAGGUAGAAGAACCAACACCAAUAAUUGAAUCUGAACUAGAUUUGAUGAGAUCAAAUAUGGAGCCCAAUGAACAAACAUCCUUAAGGCGAUCUGGUAGAGAACCGCGUCAGUCAGACAGAUACUUAGGUUUUUUGGUCUGGGAUGGGGAUCCCAUCGAACUCGAUGAGAACGAUGAGUAUCUGAUCAUCUACAGGGAUGCAAUACAGAGAUCCAACUUUGAUAAUGGCUUGAAGCCAUG